UAGGGAAUAUCGGACAAUGGGUGCAAGCCUGAUCCAGCCAUGCCGCGUGCAGGAAGAAGGCUUUCUGAGUUGUAAACUGCUUUUGCCAGGGGAUAAAAAGCCGGUGCGCCGGAAAUUGAAGGUACCUGGUGAAUAAGCCACGGCUAACUACGUGCCAGCAGCCGCGGUAAUACGUAGGUGGCAAGCGUUGUCCGGAUUUAUUGGGUUUAAAGGGUGCGUAGGCGGUUUCUUAAGUCAGUGGUGAAAUACGGCAGCUUAACUGUCGAGGUGCCAUUGAUACUGGGAAACUUGAGUACUGAUGAGGUAGGCGGAAUGGACGGUGUAGCGGUGAAAUGCUUAGAUAUCGUCCAGAACACCGAUAGCGAAGGCAGCUUACUAAAGAGUAACUGACGCUGAGGCACGAAAGUGUGGGGAGCGAACAG
rnacentral:rRNA from 1 species